CUUUCUGCAGCAUCAAACCGGAGGGGAAAGGCAGGAGGAGCGGGAGGAGCAGCAGGCGGAGGAGAUGUCGGAAUCGGAAUCGCGGGGGCGCGCCGACGCAAUGUGAGCGAGGAGGAGGUGCUGGGGAAGAAGAAGAAGAGGAGGAGGAGGACGACGAAGCCGCGAUCCCGGUCUCGCGCUCCCUUCCCCCGACGAGCCGCCCGUCCGCGGCCCCGCGAGAAAUGCACAGGAUGGCGCUUCCUAGCUGGAGUGACAUUUCGGCCUACCUGUCAGAGUAUUGGUCUGUCGUAGCUGCCACUGUCAUCUUUGCAUUGGUAGGUGGCGUGACAAUUUAUUAUACCAUCAAUCAGUUGAACAAAAAUAUCAGCUUGAGCUUGAUGAAAGCUAUCAGAGCAAGGGCAAAGAAGUACAAGAAACUGAAAGACAAGGUCCCUGCCGCUUCCCACAUCUGGAGGAAAGAACCUGGCUCUCGCAGUAAAGGUCUGAAAUGCUGUGUAUGCUUGAAGUCUGUUUCACCGCCACAGUAUUUGGGGGGGACUAUCCAUCAGUGUGAUAUUUGUGGUGCCACUGCACAUCCUAGUUGCUCAGGGAAUGCACACAAAGAUUGCAAAUGCGUUUCUAUGGUUGGCCUUGACCAUGUCAUUCACCAGUGGGCUGUCCAGUGGAUUGACACAGCUGAUCGCUCUGAAGAAGACUCAUUCUGUUGCUACUGUGAUGAAUCUUGCAGUGGAGCUUUUCUCGGAGGGUCUCCAAUUUGGUACUGUAUGUGGUGUCAACGGAUAGUGCAUGUUGAUUGCCACAACAACUUAGCCAAGGAAACUGGUGAUGUCUGUGACUUAGGCCCAUUGAAACGGCUGAUACUAUCACCUCUGUGUGUCAAGGAGCUUCAUAGGACAGGUGCAACAGGACUUUUCAGUUCUAUCACAAGUGGGGCUAAUGAAUUGGCUUCCACUGUGCGGGAGACGAUUAGGAUUCGUAGCAAAAGGUACAAAAAGAACAUUGGUUCUUCUCAGCCAGAGAGCCCUGGGACUGCUGAGCCACAAUCUGAUACUGACGGAGACUCAGAAGGAUCAAACAACACUGCUAAGAGAGAUGAUCAUGUCAAUGGUAAACUUCAUGAAGUGCAUCAAAGCACUGAAUCAGAAAAAGACAAACAGUUCAUAGCGGAUACUGCUACUAGCAGGCCAAAUGGCCAACAUGAGAUGUCCCAUGCCCAGAAUAAUCAAAAAUAUGAAAUUGUGGACGUGCCUUCUGAUUCUAGGCCAUUGCUAGUUUUCAUUAACAAGAGAAGUGGUGCCCAGAGUGGCGAUUCACUGAGACAGCGCCUGCAGAUCCUUCUUAAUCCUUUACAGGUAUUUGAGUUGGGCAAGCAUCAAGGACCAGAAGUUGGUUUAUCUUUGUUUCGGAAGGUACCUCACUUCAAAAUUCUUGUUUGUGGUGGUGAUGGCACGGCUGGUUGGGUUUUGGAUGCCAUUGAGAAACAAAAGUUUGAAGCGCCACCUCCCGUAGCCAUCCUUCCAGCUGGUACUGGCAACGAUCUUGCGAGGGUUUUGUCUUGGGGUGGUGGUCUUGGUGUUGUUGAAAAACGGGGAGGUUUAUUCUCAGUUUUGAAAGAUGUCGAGCAUGCGGCAGUUACUGUUCUGGACAGAUGGAAGAUCACUAUAAAGGACAAUCAAGGGAAGCUCAUGUCUUCACCAAAAUUUAUGAACAACUACUUUGGGGUUGGUUGUGAUGCAAAGGUUGCUCUAGAUAUCCACAACCUGAGGGAGGAAAACCCUGAACGGUUUUAUAGCCAGUUCAUGAAUAAAGUGCUUUAUGCAAAAGAAGGCGCAAAGAAUAUCAUGGAUAACAUGUUCUAUUAUUUUCCUUGGGAAGUCAAGCUUGAGAUAGAUGGAUCUAACAUUGAAAUUCCUCAGGAUGCCGAAGGUAUCCUUGUGGCCAACAUCCGGAGCUACAUGGGAGGGGUUGACCUGUGGAAGAAUGAGGAUAGUGUCUCCGACACUUUCCAACCUCAAUCCAUGCAUGACAAGACGCUGGAAGUAGUUAGCUUCACAGGAAUGCUGCAUCUUGGAAGGCUGCAGGUAGGGCUUUCUCGCGCGCAAAGGUUGGCUCAAGGGCAUCAUAUAAAGAUUGAGAUCACUACUCCGAUGCCCAUCCAAGUCGAUGGAGAGCCAUGGUCUCAGGAGCCAUGCACCAUAGAAGUUUCUCAUCACGCCCAGGCCUUCAUGCUGAAGAGAGUCUCCGAAGAGCCUAUAAGCCACGCCGCGUCCAUAAUGGCUGACAUCCUGGAGAACGCCGAGAACAGCGGUACCAUCUCAGCCUCGCAGAAGAGUGCUCUGCUUCAGGAGAUAGCGUCUAGGCUUUUGUAGCAAACUCUGCGCAACACGGUCUUGUAGCUCUGUAGUCCCCUAUAGCAUUUGACCAUGUCUGGCCCCUUUUGUACAUACAGCCAUGGCUUCCUUCCUUCUUGGAUCGAGCUUGUGUAUAAUUUCUGUAAAAUUUUGUAGGGCUUUGAGUUUGAGAUGAGCACUACCAGAGACUAUUAUGGUUACUGGUUAGCCUAAUUCUUGGUGACUCUGGGGAAUGUCUUCUCACUCGCUUGUUUGGCUUGUUAGGUAAAGACGAUGAUUCAG
rnacentral:rRNA from 1 species